UACGAAGGGGGCUAGCGCUGCUCGGAAUCACUGGGCGUAAAGCGCACGUAGGCGGCUUUUUAAGUCAGGGGUGAAAUCCUGGAGCUCAACUCCAGAACUGCCUUUGAUACUGAGAAGCUUGAGUCCGGGAGAGGUGAGUGGAACUGCGAGUGUAGAGGUGAAAUUCGUAGAUAUUCGCAAGAACACCAGUGGCGAAGGCGGCUCACUGGCCCGGUACUGACGCUGAGAUGCGAAAGCGUGGGGAGCAAACAGG
rnacentral:rRNA from 1 species